GGGCUAAUCACGGUUGGACAUCGUGAGGUUAGUGCAAUGGCAUAAGCCCGCUUGACUGCGAGAAUGACAAUUCGAGCAGGUGCGAAAGCAGGACAUAGUGAUCCGGUGGUUCUGAAUGGAAGGGCCAUCGCUCAACGGAUAAAAGGUACUCCGGGGAUAACAGGCUGAUACCGCCCAAGAGUUCACAUCGACGGCGGUGUUUGGCACCUCGAUGUCGG
rnacentral:ncRNA from 1 species